AUUACAACUACAUCCAGUACAGAUGGUGCCCCUGGUGAUGGGACUGGACAGGCAGCAGCCACCCCUGGUGAUGGGACUGGACAGGCAGCAGCCACCUUACCAUCUGCCCCUGUUGAUGAAGAUGAAGAUGAAGAUGAUGAACUUUACAAAAUCUUGGAAGAACGUCAUCAAAGAGAACUCAGGGAACAAAGUAAUGAUCAUAACUGGAUUUUAAAUUUAAUCCAUUUUCAAAUACAUUCAGACAUUGUCACAUGAAUCUAAUGAAUCUGAAGUAGGUCUUAAACAGAAUUGACCUAAUUCACAAU